UGAACGCUGGCGGCGUGCCUAACACAUGCAAGUCGUACGAGAAAUCCCGAGCUUGCUUGGGAGAGUAAAGUGGCGCACGGGUGAGUAACGCGUGGGUAACCCACCUUCGAAUCUGGGAUAACUCCGCGAAAGCGGUGCUAAUACCGGAUAAGACCACAGCUGUUUCGGCGGCAGAGGUAAAAGCUGACCUCUCCAUGGAAGUUAGCGUUCGAGGACGGGCCCGCGUCCUAUCAGCUUGUUGGUGGGGUAAUGGCCUACCAAGGCAGCGACGGGUAGCUGGUCUGAGAGGAUGAUCAGCCACACUGGAACUGGAACACGGUCCAGACUCCUACGGGAGGCAGCAGUGAGGAAUUUUGCGCAAUGGGGGAAACCCUGACGCAGCAACGCCGCGUGGGUGAAGAAGGCUUUCGGGUCGUAAAGCCCUGUCAGGUGGGAAGAAACUCUUCAGUACUAAUAAUGCUGAAGCCUGACGGUACCACCAGAGGAAGCACCGGCCAACUCC
rnacentral:rRNA from 1 species